AAAGAUCGCAGCGACGGUAUACAGGAGAGAAUCCUCUGAUUCAGUGGAGGCUUCAGUUUCAGUUUCUGAGGAUCACAGUUGAUGGAGGUUUCAUUCCUUGUGAAUGAUCAAAAAUUGGUGACUACUAAGUUCUUCACACGGACCCGUGCAGUGACGUGUGUUGGAUCAGUCAACAGAUGGCAGUGCUCAUCCAAACGGAACAGUCAAUAUGAACUUAGUCUUCAUCACACAUUUUGAGCAUGUGGACUGUUCAUGCUUGUUUUUUUUUGGGGGGGGGGCAUAUCUGAUGACCACUGUACUUCACUGUACAUGUCCAUUCAGUUUAAUAUCUCUAGCAUAUUUAGUUUUCACCAAGUACCAAAAAUACAAUAUGAUAAAAAAAUUUUUUAAACAAAAUUAACCUGUUCCAGGGCAAUACCAUAUUUUUUGGACAUACACCUUUGAAUAGCAUGGUAUUUUGACAUGUGCCAGAAUAAUACCAUGGUAUUUUGGACAUGUACCAAUGUAAUAUGAUUUUUUUGGCCAUGUACCAGAGUAAAACUGUGGUAUUUUUGACAUGUACCAAGGUAAUAUUGUAAUUUUUAGCCAUGUAUCAGGAUUGUACCAUGGAAUUUGACAACAUACAAGGGUAAUACCAUGUUAUUUGCACUAGUAUGAUAUUUUGACAUGUACCAGGGUGAUGACAUAUUUUGACCAUGAACAUAGGCAAUUCCAUGGUAUUUUGACAUGUACUAGGGUAA